rnacentral:tRNA from 3 species
GCCCGUGUAGCUCAGUUGGUAGAGCAGCUGUCUUGUAAACAGCAGGUCGCAGGUUCGAUCCCUGUCGCGGGCU